rnacentral:lncRNA from 1 species
AAGUCACAUCACUCCAUGUGGGACUAUACCACUCCAACAGCUGGAUGCAUGUUGGGUGAGGUUGCAUCAAAUCAAACCAUCCCUAAGAGUAACUGACUGCACGUCAGAUAAGGUGAUGUCUGCCACCAAAGUCCAAAUCAAGAGGAAUUAUUGUCUGGACCAUGCCCAAGUAGACCACUUAAAUCCCACGAUAAGUAACACGCCACAAUCAUGAGUGGUAUGGACAG